AAAUAGCCCCGAUUGUAGUGGAAAUCCUUUUGUUUUUUUCCUUUAAAAAACAAAAGAUUGUAACGGAAAGCGGGAAUAUGG
rfam:Flavobacterium branchiophilum FL-15, complete genome.